rnacentral:rRNA from 1 species
AGUGGCGGGCGGGUGAGUAACGCGUGGGUAACCUGCCUCAUACAGGGGGAUAACAGUUAGAAAUGACUGCUAAUACCGCAUAAGACCACAGCACCGCAUGGUGCAGGGGUAAAAACUCCGGUGGUAUGAGAUGGACCCGCGUCUGAUUAGGUAGUUGGUGGGGUAACGGCUUACCAAGGCGACGAUCAGUAGCCGACCUGAGAGGGUGACCGGCCACAUUGGGACUGAGACACGGCCCAA